rnacentral:rRNA from 1 species
AGCGAACGCUGGCGGCAGGCCUAACACAUGCAAGUCGAACGAAGUCUUCGGACUUAGUGGCGGACGGGUGAGUAACACGUGGGAACGUGCCUUUAGGUUCGGAAUAACUCAGGGAAACUUGUGCUAAUACCGAAUGUGCCCUUCGGGGGAAAGAUUUAUCGCCUUUAGAGCGGCCCGCGUCUGAUUAGCUAGUUGGUGGGGUAAUGGCCCACCAAGGCUACGAUCAGUAGCUGGUCUGAGAGGAUGACCAGCCACAUUGGGACUGAGACACGGCCCAAACUCCUACGGGAGGCAGCAGUGGGGAAUCUUGCGCAAUGGGCGAAAGCCUGACGCAGCCAUGCCGCGUGGAUGAUGAGGGUCUUAGGAUUGUAAAAUUCUUUCACCGGGGACGAUAAUGACGGUACCCGGAGAAGAAGCCCCGGCUAACUUCGUGCCAGCAGCCGCGGUAACAC